ACAGCACUCUCGAACGAUAAUCAGCGUGGGUUUCCAUACUGCUGCCGGGUGCAGCUCUGCUUCCCCGGAACUCCACAAGGUCACAAGUCCAGUAACAAGCCACUGUCAUGCUGUUGCCCCAAUACUUAGUGGGAUGUUAGAUAAGCACAUAAAAGGGAACAAGGAUCGGAGAGUGCUCAUGUGAAGCGCAAUCACUGUUCCCAACCUGCUGGGCCGAAUUGCUUAUUUUCAAGCUGUAAAUACAAGGUAGCUAUGUAAUAAGUUGCAAACUCUAACAGUUAGGUAGCUUGAACAUAAAACCUCAGAGCCAUGAAUAAGACUACUAAAAAGGUAGCCAAGCUGAUACCAGUUUACUGACGCUGUUUUUUAUAUAAAUGUAAAACACUUUAUAUUACAUAUAAUUUUAAUGUGAUAUUGGAAUCCUUUCUGCAUCUACAAUGCAAACAGAUUUAUCCAAUGUCCCAUAAUGUUAUAUUAAAAUGCAUCUUUCAGCUAUUGGACUGCAAAAAUAAUGGUAAUUAUUAUCAUAAUUGCUAAAAUGGACAAAUAUUGGACAUGGAAUUUUUGAUGAUAGAUGAGGCAUCUGCCCGAAGCAUCACUUGAGGCCAAAAAUAUAAGUAGUAAGAUCUAUCACAUAAGUCACAGUGGAUGGCUUGUCCAUGCUUUAAUCCAAGUUUAUUGCCCCAUUACCACUACUGCAGUUGCUUCAAGACACUGAUUUCCAUCAGUUAUGGUUGAGCUGACCUGUCCCAUAUCUGGGUAACUGGUAACGUUUCUUUCAACUACUCAAUGGAAAUUGUAUGAAAAGCUUGAUCUGGUCUCUCAAAUUUUGACUAUUGGUGUUCAUGUAAAAACAUUAGUUGUAAAUUCCAUUGUCUCUCCACUGGCUUAAAAAAAGCUUUUAAAUUUCAAACAAAGUCUGAUGAUGCACAACACCUCCACUAACAUUUCAAUGAUUCAAUAGUGUUGACCAUCUUACCAGCUAUUUUCAAUUAUUAAAACCAUGCUGGAGGAGGGAGACCAGUGAAAAUCUCUCCUCUACUCCUAUGCUGGAGUACUUUGGAAUAUUUACUAAAUGUGAGGCCAGUGAUAGAUUGUGUAUGCACGCACUGGAAUGCUAAUUAAGGAACCUUUUCUCUCCUGUGAUGUGAGCUAACAGUGCUAACAUAGCUUCUAAGUGCACAAUUUACAGUAGAAAUAAAAAUUGUACAAAAAGA